CAGCUAGCUUGCUGCAGCGCGAGCUGUUUUUCAGCUGAAAGGCGCCCCCUGGGUCCUAAGCCUCCUAGGUCAUGCAAAAUCUAACUGAGCCAAGAAAGGAACUCAGCCAAGAGAUAUGCAGGUUGUGCUUAGCAGCCGAUCAGUUUGAGACCUGCGAGGCCGCAUCCCCAGGGUUUUUCAUCUCUUCUGUUUCCAUUUGUAACUGUAAGAGAAAGCAACAUUCACCUUUGUGUCACAGAUCAAAUGGUAACCCACUGAAGACCACCCCAUUACCUUGUGCUAGAACGGAACUGCCUCUGCCAUCUCUCUUUAACAGAAGCACAUCCUGAGAACCUGAGAGCUCAAGGUAAGUGGCUGAACACUGUCAACACAUACAGACAUCUAACUGUCUCCUUACUGUACAGCCAUAGCAAGAAACAAACGCAUGCAAUGCUGUCAAGGUAGAAGACACCACUGUUUACUACCCCAGUCCCAAAUAUCUGUGUACGUUAGCACAGCCUACCUAGCUCUUCUGUCAUUGUCUUUUUAAGUAAACAUUAUACAUUUGAACUGAA
rnacentral:lncRNA from 1 species